rnacentral:rRNA from 1 species
AUUGAACGCUGGCGGCAGGCCUAACACAUGCAAGUCGAACGGUAACAGGAAGAAGCUUGCUUCUUUGCUGACGAGUGGCGGACGGGUGAGUAAUGUCUGGGAAACUGCCUGAUGGAGGGGGAUAACUACUGGAAACGGUAGCUAAUACCGCAUAACGUCGCAAGACCAAAGAGGGGGACCUUCGGGCCUCUUGCCAUCGGAUGUGCCCAGAUGGGAUUAGCUAGUAGGUGGGGUAACGGCUCACCUAGGCGACGAUCCCUAGCUGGUCUGAGAUGAUGACCAGCCACACUGGAACUGAGACACGGUCCAGACUCCUACGGGAGGCAGCAGUGGGGAAUAUUGCACAAUGGGCGCAAGCCUGAUGCAGCCAUGCCGCGUGUAUGAAGAAGGCCUUCGGGUUGUAAAGUACUUUCAGCGGGGAGGAAGGGAGUAAAGUUAAUACCUUUACUCAUUGACGUUACCCGCAGAAGAAGCACCGGCUAACUCCGUG